CCGUCUGGCUAACCGCUCUCCAUGUAUUGCCUUAUCAAAGAGUCGAGUUGUUUGGGAAUGCAGCUCAAAGUGGGUGGUAAACUCCAUCUAAAGCUAAAUACUGUUGAGAGACCGAUAGCGAACAAGUACUGUGAAGGAAAGGUGAAAAGAACUUUGAAAAGAGAGUGAAAUAGUAUGUGAAAUUGCUUUUACGGAAGGUAAUGAGUGGAGAGUGGCCGAGGUUUCAGCCGCCCCUCGUGGGCGGUGUACUGCCGAC
rnacentral:rRNA from 1 species